CAUGUCACAAUAUCAUGGAUAAUGCUUCAAUUCCUCUGAGAAGUACUUGAAGAAAGAUAUCGUUGAUUUGCUUGCGAAUGGACUCGAUAUCAAUGCUUAUGGACGGGUGAUAUUAUUGCUUUAUUGCUGACACUGGGUGCCUAAGUUGAAUCUCUAAAAUUGUCCAAGUGAGCGUAUGGAUUCUAGGCAACUCGCAAGCUUGCUUAUAUCUCUUUGGUAAUCCAUGGUGGCAUAAUCAAGGUUCAGAACCAGCUUCAUUGCAGCUUUUGAAGGAGGAGAAAACUGAAAACAUGAAGUAAAAGGCCUGCAUCGUCAUUCAUUUUAUUCAGUAUCAUGCUUACUUAUUGAUGCAACAAGGAUGCAAGGAAGAGUUUGUUGAAGGAGAGAAAAGGACCUGGUUGUGACUGUGAUGUCUGCAAUGGGAGAGGAUCGGAUUUGUGCUAUGAAG